AAAAAGACAAACCCUGGAUUUUCAUGUCUAACGUUUGACUGUCCGUCUUAUAUGAAAUUUUUUUAUAAUUAGUAUUUUUAUUGUUGUUAGAUGAUAAAACAUGAUUAGUACUUUAUGCGUGACUUAUCUUUUUAAUUUUUUUCAUAAUUUUUUUAAAUAAGACGGACGGUCAAACGUUGGACACAGAAACCUAGGGUUUGUCUUUUU
rnacentral:pre_miRNA from 1 species